CCUACGGGUGGCAGCAGUGAGGAAUAUUGGUCAAUGGGCGCGAGCCUGAACCAGCCAAGUAGCGUGAAGGAUGACUGCCCUACGGGUUGUAAACUUCUUUUAUAAAGGAAUAAAGUGAGCCACGUGUGCCUUUUUGUAUGUACUUUAUGAAUAAGGAUCGGCUAACUCCGUGCCAGCAGCCGCGGUAAUACGGAGGGUCCGAGCUUUAUCCGGAUUUGUUGGGUUUAAAGGGAGCGUAGAUGGGUUGUUAAGUCGGUUGUGAAAGUUUGCGGCUCAACCGUAAAAUUGCAAUUGAUACUGGCAGCCUUGAGUGCAGUUGAGGUAGGCGGAAUACGUGGUGUAGCGGUGAAAUGCUUAGAUAUCACGAAGAACUCCGAUUGCGAAGGCAGCCUACUAAACUGCCACUGACAUUGAUGCACGAAAGUGUGGGUAUCAAACAGGAUUAGAUACCCGGGUAGUC
rnacentral:rRNA from 1 species